rnacentral:rRNA from 1 species
CUCAGUUCGGAUUGGAGGCUGAAACCCGCCUCCAUGAAGUUGGAUUCGCUAGUAAUCGCGCAUCAGCCAUGGCGCGGUGAAUACGUUCCCGGGCCUUGUACACACCGCCCGUCAAGCCAUGAAAGCCGGGGGUACCUGAAGUACGUAACCGCAAGGAGCGUCCUAGGGUAAAACUGGUAAUUGGGGCUAAGUCGUAACAAGGUACC